rnacentral:rRNA from 1 species
GAGUUUGAUCCUGGCUCAGGACGAACGCUGGCGGCGUGCUUAACACAUGCAAGUCGAACGGUAAGGCCCCAGCUUGCUGGGGUACACGAGUGGCGAACGGGUGAGUAACACGUGGGUGACCUGCCCCGCACUUCGGGAUAAGCCUGGGAAACUGGGUCUAAUACCGGAUAGGACCGCACCGUGAGGGUGUGGUGGAAAGUUUUUCGGUGUGGGAUGGGCCCGCGGCCUAUCAGCUUGUUGGUGGGGUAAUGGCCUACCAAGGCGGCGACGGGUAGCCGGCCUGAGAGGGUGGACGGCCACAUUGGGACUGAGACACGGCCCAGACUCCUACGGGAGGCAGCAGUGGGGAAUAUUGCACAAUGGGCGGAAGCCUGAUGCAGCGACGCCGCGUGGGGGAUGACGGCCUUCGGGUUGUAAACUCCUUUCACCAUCGACGAAGGUUUUCUGACGGUAGAUGGAGAAGAAGCACCGGCUAACUAUGUGUUAGCAGUUGUGGUAAUACGUAGGGUGCGAGCGUUGUCCGGAAUUACUGGGCGUAAAGAGCUCGUAGGUGGUUUGUCGCGUCGUCUGUGAAAUUCCGGGGCUUAACUCCGGGCGUGCAGGCGAUACGGGCAUAACUUGAGUACUGUAGGGGAGACUGGAAUUCCUGGUGUAGCGGUGAAAUGCGCAGAUAUCAGGAGGAACACCGGUGGCGAAGGCGGGUCUCUGGGCAGUAACUGACGCUGAGGAGCGAAAGCAUGGGUAGCGAACAGGAUUAGAUACCCUGGUAGUCCAUGCCGUAAACGGUGGGCGCUAGGUGUAGGGGUCUUCCACGACUUCUGUGCCGUAGCUAACGCAUUAAGCGCCCCGCCUGGGGAGUACGGCCGCAAGGCUAAAACUCAAAGGAAUUGACGGGGGCCCGCACAAGCGGCGGAGCAUGUGGAUUAAUUCGAUGCAACGCGAAGAACCUUACCUGGGCUUGACAUAUACGGGAUCGCCGCAGAGAUGUGGUUUCCCUUGUGGCUCGUAUACAGGUGGUGCAUGGUUGUCGUCAGCUCGUGUCGUGAGAUGUUGGGUUAAGUCCCGCAACGAGCGCAACCCUUGUCUUAUGUUGCCAGCACGUUAUGGUGGGGACUCGUGAGAAACUGCCGGGGUCAACUCGGAGGAAGGUGGGGAUGACGUCAAAUCAUCAUGCCCCUUAUGUCCAGGGCUUCACACAUGCUACAAUGGUCGGUACAGUGGGUUGCGAUGCCGUGAGGCGGAGCUAAUCCCUUAAAGCCGGUCUCAGUUCGGAUCGGGGUCUGCAACUCGACCCCGUGAAGUCGGAGUCGCUAGUAAUCGCAGAUCAGCAACGCUGCGGUGAAUACGUUCC